rnacentral:lncRNA from 1 species
AUUAACAAAUUUAUCACAUUGAAACAUAACUACCCAAAUCAUGAUUCAAAUCUAUGAAAAAUCUGGAUAAAAUGACCAACCUCAAUACAUGAUUCAUGCAGAUUUGUGUUAAGUGAAAAAAUCUAACUACCAAUAUCCAACCAAUAAGAAUAGGCUUCGAGUUAAGUUAAAAAGAAACAGAUCAUAUAGAAAAACAGUGGCUAAUCAGUAGAGGAAUAACCUGGAAAUCCAAAAAUAAAGUCAAAUUCAAACUUCAAAAGACGACACUAACUACUUCUAUUACAAUUCCUCAUGAAAAUGAUGUACUGGUGAAUACUUGCCAAAGUGAAUAUGGUCUAUUCACCCAAGCUUUAAUCCACCCCAAUAGAAAUAUCAACCUCUAAUAUAUCACCAACGACAAGCCCAUUUUGACUUAAUACUUGCUGAUUUUGGCCAAUCAGUCGCCAAAUCCACAAACUAUAGCCAAGCUCGACAACAGCAGCUUUCAACAAACCUCACAUAGGCAACAUUUGGUGCAGGAAUCGCUGAUUUCACAGGAGAAAACAUAAUACACUGCACAACGAAGCUAGUUUUGAGAUAAAUUUCAGCAUAAUGAGCCAAGAGGAGCAUACGAUUCAGAUGCAAAAAUGCAUCUCGAACCCAGACAUCAUUUAAACCUUUCAUUUCAACAUUUCAGAUAUCAUUUAGAGUUAGCUCGAACAUGAAUUGACAUUAAAACCUUUGCAAACAAGGACAGACCUACAGCUGCGACAUAGUAUGGAUUGGAUUCAUUUAAACCUAAAAAUAUGUAUAGGCCGCGUAUACUAGUGCAAUUCAAACAACAUUAGCAAGAAAGCAUUGCAGAGACAUCAAAAACUAAUCAAAAUUCAUUAGUAACAGGACAUAAUUCAGGUGGACUAUACAAUCACAGCAUAUAUCCGUUUGAACAAAAAUAGACAUUCAUUCGAACUCAGAGACGGAAAACCACGACAAGAUAGAUCCAUUAACCACUGAACAGGCCAUAGAUGCAAGUUCUCAAAGCUGUAACAUUCUUAAUACAUUCGAUACAAAAGAUCGAAGUUUCAUACCUUGUGAGCAAAACAGCAAAAGGAAAAGGAAAAUGAAUCUCAGGUUUCUGAAGAAUGAAAGCACCACAGAACCAAAGAGGACAGCUACAUCUUAAUAAACAGCAACAGAUUCAAACUUCUCGAUGAAUUCCAUUGUUCGUAAACCAGAAUCGAAGUAAAAAAACUCUAUUAUUUCGAAAUGCUAAAUAAAACUAACACCAAGUGAAAUCAUGGAACCUCAAUAAUAUUUUCUUCUCUCUGUUAUGGUAUAAGAAAAUGAAGAAAAACAAUGGAAAAGAAGAAGAAAGUUUUGAACCCUAAUUUUCUUCCUUCAAUUUCUCUGAAAGAAAUCUCUUAAAAAUCCCCCCAAAAAAGAAGGACCCCCCGAACAAGAACAUCCUCACCUUAUAUCACCUCUGAAAAAUUAUCGAAUCUUCUCCUCAAAUCCGAAAAAUACCUUAUUCCUUGUGAACGAUUUUUGGGACAAAUGAAGGGAAUGGAUUGAUUUUCAUCCAUCCACGGCCCCCAUUCAUCCAGCAAAUCGAUCGAGAAACUGAAGGUGCGUAAAAUAUCUAGAAGGAAUCUUCUUGUUGUCAGAGUUGGUUGCUAUGUGGCUAUAGGAGAGAGGUUGGAGCACGUGAGGUGAGUUUUUGGGGUGAACUCGAGCGAGUUUGGGCGAGACAGAGGUGAGUUCUGGUGAUGUUGGGCGUGACAGAAGAAAGAGAUGAAGAUGGAGCGCUGUUUGGGUUGGGAUGGGGAUAAGACUAGGGUUUUC